rnacentral:rRNA from 1 species
CCCUUAGAUGUUCGGAGCUGCACGCGCGCUACACUGAAGGAUGCAGCGUGUUAGAGUACCUGGUUUGUAAAAACUGGGUAAUCCGGUGAAUGUCCUUCGUGAUUGGGAUAGGCACUUGUAAUUAUUUGCCUUGAACGAGGAAUACCUAGUAAGUGCGAGUCAUCAGCUUGCGCUGACUACGUCCCCGCCCUUUGUACACACCGCCCGUCGCUCCUACCGAUUGAACGUUCCGAUGAAUACCAUGGAUUGAGAGUCUGAAUGGGUUCGCCUAUUUCUGCUUCUCGAGAAGUGGAGUAAAUCUCAGCGUUUAGAGGAAGGAGAAGUCGUAACA